GGGAUAUUAGUUUAAAAAUUUAAAACAUUUAAUUUGCAAUUAAAAAAUAUUUAAUUUAGUAUAUCUCA
rnacentral:tRNA from 1 species